CCCCUUUUGUGAUGAACUUUGCUUUGUGCCAUCGUGUCUGGGCCACUGAUGCUCUAUGAUGGUAGUGAGGAUCUGAGGGG
ensembl:snoRNA